rnacentral:tRNA from 1 species
CGCAGGAUAGGGAAGUUGGUCCAUCCCGCCGGGCUCAUUACUCGGAGAUCACAGGUUCGAAUCCUGUUCCUGCUA